UGGGUCGGCAAUGCAGGUGGCCAUGAGCCUAUCGGUGGUGAUUGAGGGCCCAGUUCGAUUGGCUUAUCGUGUGAUUCGUAUUCCUGAAACAAUGAACAGAUGCUGGAGCUAACGUCGUUGAUGGCCCUCCUGAACAACAUAUACCGUAACCCAUUCUUCCGUCACUCCGGGUGUAGCUGCAUGUGUCGUAGACUCCGAGGAUCCAGCCGUCAAGAGCCCCAAGAUCCGGAAUUUUAAAGACAACAGCGUCUUCGAAACAAUAACAACAACAACACCAACAAAAGAAAAGUGUUAUUAAACGAAAAGUCAUUUUGAGGGUCAUGAUCACAAAACUUUCAUUGAAUGUCAAUAACAUUGAGGAGUCCUUGGACGGUUGGAGGCGUGACAUGUAGCGGCGUGUAGACAUCUUCAGAUUCUUGUCUAACAUAAAGCAUAACCCGUUCUUCAGAAUCGUUUCCACGGAGGUGAGAUUGCUGAGUCUGGU